rnacentral:lncRNA from 1 species
CAAGAACUUAAAACCUCUUCAACUCACACCUGACCUAAACCCAAACGCCUUAUUUUCUUCUGCAAUGCCGCUUGACAAACUCGACAGUGGUUCCAAAUAGCCAGAAAAUGGCACUUUCAAUUUUUCCAUCCUACAAGAUCUAAAUAAUUCUUGUCCUAAAAUAGGCAAACAGUCUGAGGUGCCUGACGUCCAGACAUUCUUUUACACAUUGUCCCCUCCCUAGUCUCUGUUCCCAGUGCGACUCGUCCCAAAUCCUCCUCCCUUCCCUCUCACCUGUCCCCUCAGUCCCAACCCCAGGCGUCGCUGAGUCUUUCUAAUCUUCCUUUUCUACAGACCCAUCUGACCUCUCCCCUCCUCCCCAGGCUGCUCCUCGCCAGGCCGAGCUAGGUCCCAAUUCUUCCUCAGCCUCCGCUCCUCCACCCUGUAAUCCGUUCAUCACCUCCCCUCCUCACACCCGGUCUGGGUUACAGUUUCGUUCCUUGACUGGCCCUCCCCCACCUGCCCAGCAAUUUCCUCUUAAAAACAUGGCUGGAGCUAAAGGCAUAGUCAAGGUUAAAGCUCCUUUUUCUUUAUCCGACCUCUCCCAAAUCAGUUAGCAUUUAGGCUCUUUUUCAUCAAAUAUAAAAAUCCAGCCCAGUUCAUGACUUGUUUGGCAGCAACCCUGAGACGCUUUACAGCCCUAGACCCUAAAAGGUCAAAAGGCCGUCUUAUUCUCAAUAUACAUUUUAUUACCCAAUCCGCUCUCGACUUUAAAUAAAGCUCCAAAAAUUAAAUUCCGGCUCUCAAACCCCACAACAGGACUUAAUUAACCUCGCUUUCAAGAUGUACAAUAAUAGAAAAAAGUUGCAAUUCCUUGCCUCCACUGUGAGACAAACCCCAGCCACAUCUCCAGCACACAAGAACUUCCAAACGCCUAAACCGCAGUGGCCAGGCGUUCCUCCAGGCCCGCCGCCCCCAGGAGCUUGCUACAAGUGCCAGAAAUCUGGCCACCAGGCCAAGGAAUGCCCGCAGCCCGGGAUUCCACCUAAGCCGCAUCCCAUCUGUGUGGGACCCCACUGAAAACUGGACUGUUCAACUCACCUGGCAGCCACUCCCAGAGCCCCUGGAACUCCAGCCCAAGGCUCUCUGACUCCUUCUCAGAUCUUCUCGGCUUAGCGGCUGAAGACUGACACUGCCUGAUGGCCUCGGAAGCCCCCCUAAACCAUCACGGACGCCGAGCUUUGGCUAACUCUCACAGUGGAAGGUCCAAUGUGAUAUCCACCAUCUGGCAGGAAGCUUACCAGUUCAUGGAUAACAAAUAGGCAAA